rnacentral:rRNA from 1 species
UGGGGAAUAUUGCACAAUGGGCGCAAGCCUGAUGCAGCCAUGCCGCGUGUGUGAAGAAGGCCUUCGGGUUGUAAAGCACUUUCAGCGAGGAGGAAGGCGGUGAGCUUAAUACGCUCAUCAAUUGACGUUACUCGCAGAAGAAGCACCGGCUAACUCCGUGCCAGCAGCCGCGGUAAUACGGAGGGUGCAAGCGUUAAUCGGAAUUACUGGGCGUAAAGCGCACGCAGGCGGUUCGUUAAGUCAGAUGUGAAAUCCCCGGGCUCAACCUGGGAACUGCAUUUGAAACUGGCAAGCUAGAGUCUCGUAGAGGGGGUAGAAUUCCAGGUGUAGCGGUGAAAUGCGGUAGAGAUCUGGAGGAAUACCGGUGGCGAAGGCGGCCCCCUGGA